rfam:Endozoicomonas numazuensis strain DSM 25634 scaffold00008, whole genome shotgun sequence.
UAACCGUGAACCCGAAAUGUCCUUGUCCUGCUGGACCUGGAUGAACUCACGGAGAAACAAACGGAGACGAUUGAAUGGCCCGUAUUGCUGGCGUCAACAUCCCGGAU